GUUGGACUAGUGGAGCUCUGUUCCUGCCCAGGCUCCAGAAACGAAAUAAGAAACAUGUCUGUCCGAGCAGUUGCAUCUCUUUCAGUUGGCUCUUUCCCAACAUGUCCAACCCAGCAAAACCAGGUACAGCCCCAGUGCACCCCGAGGGGGCAUAUCAGCCGUUCAGUCGUGUAUUCCACAAACCUUCACCGAGUUUGCACCUAGGUUAUGGGAGAGAGAAUUCCUAGAAGGUGAAUUCUACAAAGGAUUUAAAAUCGAGGUGAGAGAGGAAAGAAAAAUCUACACUGGCCUCAGUUACUGCCUGACCUCCGGGGUGAGAGUUACACAAAGGAGAGAGAAGGAUCACUCUGCACACGCUCACUUGGC
rnacentral:lncRNA from 1 species